UACGAAGGGUGCAAGCGUUACUCGGAAUUAUUGGGCGUAAAGAGUUCGUAGGUGGUUACUUAAGUCUGGUGUUAAAGCCCGAAGCUCAACUUCGGCAUGGCAUUGGAAACUGGGUGGCUAGAGUGCGGGAGAGGAGAGUGGAAUUCCUGGUGUAGCGGUGGAAUGCGCAGAUAUCAGGAAGAACACCCGUGGCGAAGGCGGCUCUCUGGAACGCAACUGACGCUGAGACGCGAAAGCGUGGGGAGCAAACAGG
rnacentral:rRNA from 1 species